GCCCGACUAGCUCAUCGGUAGAGCGCCUCACUAGUAUAGUUGUGUACAUAAAUUCCAUAUAGGCUGAGUCCACGUAAGGGCUUGGCCAGGGAAAGGUAGCAUUGUACAAUGAGGAGGCAACAGGUUCGAUUCCUGUGUUGGGCA
rnacentral:tRNA from 1 species